CAGUAGCCGCGGUAAUACGUAGGGUGCAAGCGUUAAUCGGAAUUACUGGGCGUAAAGCGUGCGCAGGCGGUUAUAUAAGACAGAUGUGAAAUCCCCGGGCUCAACCUGGGAACUGCAUUUGUGACUGUAUAGCUAGAGUACGGCAGAGGGGGAUGGAAUUCCGCGUGUAGCAGUGAAAUGCGUAGAUAUGCGGAGGAACACCGAUGGCGAAAGCAAUCCCCUGGGCCUGUACUGACGCUCAUGCACGAAAGCGUGGGGAGCAAACAGGAUUAGAUACCCCCGUAGUCCCUGUCUCUUAUAA
rnacentral:rRNA from 1 species